UAACUUCGCGCUGCUUCCACUGUUUCGAUGCUUCAACUUCAAGCUUCGAGAAUUGUAGUGUCGAGAAGCAAAGGAACGUGUCGUGAGACGCAGUUCGAAAUACUGCGUAUUUUUUCCCGAGUUUUCACUGUUCAAAGGUAAAUUUCGCGUCCGAUGGAUUAUCGCGAGUGUCUCUCGUAAAGUGACAGAUGUGUGACUAUCUUGACAUUGACAAUUCGAUUGUGCAAGUGCGUCGAGCAGUGAUUGAAGUCCUCUUCGCAUAUUUGACGUCGUUUAUCUUCUCAAGAUGUCAAGGUGUCAACGAUAUUGGAGCAACAAUAAUCAGGUGCGCGAGGAAUGACACAAUACUAGGAGGAGCGAGCUUAUCCUCAUCGUGAUGUUCGAUCAUCCUGUUCGGGACGAAUCAUAAAUCGGAGUUUCCGCUUUCGCUCGGCCCAAUCUUUAGCGAACUUUUCCAAAAAUUGAAAAAUUUUUCUACAUUGAUUUACAUACAUUAUAGCUCUAAAAAGUGCGCGAGGAAUGACACAAUACUAGGAGGAGCGAGCUUAUCCUCAUCGUGAUGUUCGAUCAUCCUGGACGUUCGGAACGAAUCAUAAAUCGGAGUUUCCGCUUUCGACGGCCCAAUCUUUAGCGAACUUUUCCAAAAAUUGAAAAAUUUUUCUACAUUGAUUUACAUACAUUAUAGCUCUAAAAAGUGCGCGAGGAAUGACACAAUACUAGGAGGAGCGAGCUUAUCCUCAUCGUGAUGUUCGAUCAUCCUGGACGUUCGGGACGAAUCAUGAAUCGGAGUUUCCGCUUUCGCGCGACACGCCCGGUCGGUGUCUUGAAUAAUUAAUAGAUGGACGGUGAAUAACGAGCUUUUAAUUGCUGUUUUAAGCGUCACGAGACGGAUAUCUCGAUCUCGAGCGAACGUCGUUUUUCCGUCGCGUCUGUCGCUCGUUGUCGUUAAUUGCAUCGCGACAAUUUCGUCCUCCCUCGACUAAAGGCGCUCGCUCUUCUCUCUGCAAAAGGAAUCGUAAUCUUACAUCUUCGCUCGCUUCUCUCUCGACUUGACCCGAAACCGAGCGACGUUAAUUACAUCGGUUUAACACGUAACGACGUUUAUGUGAAUUUUCAAUUUUCGUGCCAAGUAGUCCAGAAACGUAUCGUUAGUUUCAAGUUUCGCGACACCCCGGAUCAUUUUUCGCGACUAAUUCUCGAAUUUCGAACGAUAAAUGAGCCGCGCCAUCAGUUGGCCGUGUUAUACGUCAGGACUCGGUUCUGCCGAGGAUUAAACCUCGGAUUAUAUCUUUCCCGCGGGAAAGAGAAGAGGGAUAAUUCCAGAACUCGAAUAAUUAACCCUGGCGCGCGACCAAGAAGGGGCUGAUAAAUGCUUCCCCUAUUUGUUUCCCCUAAAUGAACACACACUACGCAAUGAACUAUAACUUUAUAACUUGGUAUAAAUUUAAACUCGAUAAAGUUACGGCAUAUAGACAGCAGCCCCGCUUUUUCUCUGGUAUAUCAAAAUGGGGGGUAUAUUUUUACAUGCCAUAAUCGUGCAGUGAUUCACUUAUGAAGUCAAAUUAAAAUUUUAUUUGCAAAAAAUCGAGAAGAAGGGGACGAAAAAAGGCUUUAUUACGCUGAAACUACCAAUCGAUUGGAAACGACCGGUCGUUAUCAUCCGACAACUGUCGCUGGCAAGAGGUACAAUGAUGCUUAUCAUUUGGCGUCGAUCGCGUCAUCGCGGCAUCGAUUUUCGCUCUCUAAACAGCGACGUCGCUCGGCUGGAAACGCUGAAUAAUGGAGGCGAGGAAUUCGAAAGAGAUCGAGAAAGAGAUGCCCCGAGAGAACGGAGAAAGAGAGAGGAGA